CAAGAUUCGCAAAAGGCUCUGACUGGAUACUCUAUUACAGGGAAAAUGGAUUACCCGCCCACCGGUCGCCGGACCCGCAAAACCCCGAAGAAAUCCGAGAUUUAUUCUACGGUCGUAGUCCAUGAUUCCGGAUCCGAACCAGAACCCGAACCCAAAACCCAUGAACACGACGACGGCAUCUACGCCACAAUGGUCUACAAAGGUGGAGCUGCCCAAAACGACAACGACGAGGAAGAUGAAGACUCGCUCCCUCCUCUCCUCAAACGCCUCCCUAAGGACUUCGGCGGUGGCGCUCCUCUCGACGAAGAUCUCGAUGACGACAACAGUGGCGACUUUGGAACGAUGAUUGUCAAAACCAGUCGGAGUCGUCCCCCGACCCAAUCGUCGUCGUUGUCUUCGUCAAUGGCGUCGACUCUGAGGAAACCUAGAGGCUCUCCGUUCGCGGAUUAUAGUAAGAGAAUUGAUGGAGGAGACGAUAGUGAUGGUGAAGAUGAUGCAGAGGGGUUUGGCACUUUCGUGGUAAAGUCGACGGUGAGUGGGACGGUGGUGAGGAGGACUGGAAGGGCGGAAGGUGGAUCGACGAUGGGGAGGGCGGUGGCAAGCAUGCAGGCGGUGGGGGAGUUAGGAUCUGGAAAGCAGAGGAAAGGGAGUGGGUCUCCGUCAUUGCAGGGAGAGGAGGCCAGGCAGCAGCAGAGUAAAAUGUCAUCGAGCUCUAUUCCAGAUAGUGUCACCAGGGAAGAUCCUACCACGAAGUACGAAUUGCUCAAUGAACUCGGGAAGGGUUCUUACGGAGCUGUUUACAAGGCAAGGGAUUUACGAACUUCAGAGCUUGUUGCCAUCAAAGUUAUAUCAUUAACCGAGGGGGAGGAGGGCUAUGAAGAAAUUCGAGGUGAAAUUGAGAUGUUGCAACAGUGUAGCCAUCCUAACGUUGUUCGAUACUUGGGAAGCUAUCAAGGUGAAGAGUAUCUUUGGAUAGUCAUGGAGUACUGUGGGGGUGGAAGUGUUGCUGACUUGAUGAAUGUUACUGAAGAGCCUUUGGAGGAGUAUCAAAUAGCAUAUAUAUGUAGAGAAGCACUUAAGGGCCUUGCCUAUUUGCAUUCAAUUUUCAAGGUCCAUAGAGAUAUUAAGGGUGGUAAUAUUUUGUUAACUGAACAAGGGGAGGUCAAGUUGGGUGAUUUUGGGGUUGCAGCGCAGCUUACGAGGACCAUGUCAAAGCGCAACACGUUCAUUGGCACUCCACAUUGGAUGGCUCCAGAAGUUAUUCAGGAAAGUCGUUAUGAUGGAAAGGUGGAUGUAUGGGCUCUUGGUGUUUCUGCAAUUGAAAUGGCCGAGGGACUUCCUCCAAGAUCAACGGUGCAUCCUAUGAGGGUUCUAUUCAUGAUAUCUAUUGAGCCAGCUCCAAUGCUUGAGGAUAAAGAAAAAUGGUCUCUUGUGUUUCAUGAUUUUGUUGCGAAAUGCCUUACAAAAGAACCACGUUUACGCCCAACUGCUUCUGAGAUGCUGAAGCACAAGUUGAUCGAAAAAUGCAAGUGUGGAGCCUCAGCUAUGUUACCAAAGAUCGAAAAGGCCAGGCAAAUUAGGGCUUCAAUGGCUCUGCAAGCACAAAAUCUUGCUCCAGUUGUAUCAGAACCACCAGUGGGUCCAAAACUAAACGAGGAUUAUGGAGAUACUGUUCCAUCAAAGCGACCUCAAAUGGCAGAUGAAAUACCGAGCUCUGCAGAUGGUGUGGAACUGGCUGGAGAAGUUGAUUUUGGAACUGUAGUAGUUCAUGGUGGGGAAGAGACCAAGAAGACAGCUAUGCAGACAGAACUCCAUAACAAUAGAGAGCCCUUACAGGAUCUAGGACAUUUUGAAAGCCCUUCGGUUAGUGGCACUGGAGGGAAAUCAGCUGAUGCUUGGGUGGAUAAUGCAAGAGUUGCUGCAAACCACAUUUUGGCUGGAGAAACACAUUCUGUGUUACAGACUAUAAGGGCUUCACCUUCAGAAUCUGGCUCUCCUGCACAGAAUUUCAAAAAUAGCAUACCUCAAUCGCAGGUCGGAGGAGGUGGGGGGUAUGGGAACACCCACUUUGAAGAAUGAAACUGUCAGCAAAAAAGCUUUUGCGUUACAAGACAAGCUUUGGUCCAUAUACGCGGCUGGUAAUACAGUACCCAUACCAUUCUUGAAGGCAACAGAUAUAUCCCCAAUUGCUCUCUUGUCAGACAAUGUGCUUGGAGGUACACAGAGGGAUAACGGUGACACUCAAGCAGUGGAAACACUGCAAGAACUUUUUACUGGUGAUGGGCUGUCUAAAAAAGGCCGACGGGUACAAAAUGAGAUGCCCCUUCCUCCAAGUGUGUACCAGAGACUAACCACAAGUUCUACACUGCUGAAUCUGGCACAGGCUUUGGCCUACCACAAAAUGUGUUAUGAAGAGAUGCCACUCCAAGAGUUGCAAGCAACUCAAGAACAACAGACCAUUCAAAAUCUGUGUGAUACACUCCGAACUAUCCUCCGCUUGUAAGAGAGAGAGAGAGAAAGAGAGAGAGAGAAGUUGCAUUGGCUUACUUUUGUUGGGCAUCGAGAGAGGUGACAUUUCUGUGUAUAUUAUUUUAUAGUCCUCCAACUUGUAGAUGCUGACUUUUGAUGAGUUCAUGGCCUUAUGCAAUUGAUCAAGUGCUUCAGCCCAGUCGAAUCCAAAUUGACCUAAACCCAAGCGUGGUUUCUUCCCCUCUGAUGCUGAAGCAAGUUGCCGGGAAAAAGAAAAUAAUGUAUGAACGAAAUUGACCAUCUCUUUGCAGAUAAUUUUUCUGAAGAAGACACCUCAAGAUACCAAAAAUUCCGUCCUUAAUUUCUGAAAUGGCUAUCACGGG
rnacentral:misc_RNA from 1 species